AGCUGGAGCGAGACUUGCGCGGGAUAGGCCUGGAUUCCUCGCAGGCCCCACCUUCUUUGCGCUCGGGGCAGGCGAUGGCGGCGGCGCUGGGGAUUCCCAGAGCGUGGCACAUCUGUAUUUCACAAAGAAGAAUGGGGGACUUGGAGCCAAGGAUGCUGUCAUCCAGCUUCCCGAGGGUCUGGAUCUGAGGAGAUCCUGUGAUGAGCCACUGUUGCUCUGCAUCCGCUAUGCAGUGGGUGCAGCUCUUCCUUCUAAGACAUUAUCUUGAACUAUAGAAGCCACCUCUUGCAAGCCCAUGGUGAUUGCUUUGAUUGCAAGC